CCUACGGGAGGCAGCAGUGAGGAAUAUUGGUCAAUGGGCGCAAGCCUGAACCAGCCAAGCCGCGUGAAGGAUGACGGCUCUACGGGUUGUAAACUUCUUUUGUAAAGGAGUAAAGUUAGCCACGCGUGCCUGUGUGUAUGUAUUUUAUGAAUAAGGAUCGGCUAACUCCGUGCAAGCAGCCGCGGUAAUACGGAGGAUGCGAGCGUUAUCCGGAUUUAUUGGGUUGAAAGGGAGCGUAGAUGGUUUGGUAAGUCAGAUGUGAAAGCGUGCGGAUCAACCGUAAAAUUGCAAUUGAUACUGGUCGUCUUGAGUGCAGUUGAGGUAGGCGGAAUUCGUGGUGUAGCGGUGAAAUGCUUAGAUAUCAGGAAGAACACCGAUUGCGAAGGCAGCUUACUAAGCUGCAACUGACGUUGAGGCUCGAAAGCGUGGGUAUCAAACAGGAUUAGAUACCCGUGUAGUC
rnacentral:rRNA from 1 species